AUAAUUUGAGUCUUUUCAAAUAUUUUCUGCUGAACACAGUGUCGAAACUACAACAGAUUUACACUCAUUAAUUCAUGAUGGAUAAAAUCAUUAUUUUUCUGGUAUUGAUAAUAGUCAUAAUAUGAUGUUUAGCCAGACGGAUGAACAAUAUUGUUUUUGUCACCACUGUAUCUAUUGCUAAUAAAAUUUAACAUUUUAGAUGCAGUGUAUUUCUUUCUUGCAUAAUUCCAAAUUCUAAUUCAACUUCUUUUGUCUUCUGCAACUUGGUGUGAUGAUUUAGUUGAUAUGGGCUACUCUAUUUAGUUGAUAUGUUAAUGUAUAAUUCAGUUGUUAUGCUUCUCUGUAAUGAACACAAGAAUGUGAUAUUUUUUGGGUGAUAGGUUUUUAGAAUAAAAUUCUUUCAAUAUAUACAAACGAAAUUAAAUAUAAAGUUCUUGUAAUUGAUAUGAAUAAAUGCUUGUUUUACAGUUUUUGAUGAACAAUUCUCCAUGGUGACUGGAGAGGAGAUGAGGUAUCCAUGUGAAAAAUGCGGCAAAACCUACAAACUGAAAGGCGAUAUGAAGAGCCAUAUGAAGAAUGAUUGUGGAUUGGAACCGAGAUUCGCUUGUCCCCACUGUCCUUAUAGAUCACGGCGAAAGGGCGACCUCAAAGCUCAUGUGGCUGUCAAACACUUGAAUUUUACUCUUCCCCCAGGAUCGAUCAACUCAUUAAAUCAGAAAUUCAUUUGAAUUCGUUUCAUCUCAUUAUUGUUUUUUAAAUUAUAAUAAAAAACGUGAUGGGUUGUAACCUGUGGUGUCUUCCUCAAAAUUAUAUAAUAAUAUUGUGAAUGAUUAUCAUGUCAAGAUUUUCUCAUCUCAUGUGAAUUACUUCCUCAUGUUGCUUUUUGGAAAAUAGAAAUCAUGUCUUUCCUCUUAUAUUUUGUAAUUAUUUUCAUCAAUUUUGAAAAGUCUAAUAAUACGCUUAUUGACUUCAACUGAUGGCUGAAAAUGGAUGUAAUUAUGAAACUAUAGUUUGAAAAUUGUAAUAAUCAUGAGUAAGACUCAAUGAAAUUUACAUUUUUAUAUGAUGAGGAUUUCUUUCAAAUAUAUAAUCAAAUAUUUUUUUUUCAAAUCCGUUUUCUGUGAAUUGGUGUGGCAAUUCAGUCGAUAUGCUUUGAAAGGUACAAUUUAAUCCAUCAGUUUAUACUUCAUAGUUUAUAUGGUAAGCAUUUUUUAAUUUUGACACCUAGGCUAUGGAUCUCCUUUGAUAUUAUUAAUAAGCAAAAAUUGAAUCUUGCUGACCAAUAAAUCUGUUACUACUCAUUGGAUUUUCAACUCAUUCUAAAAUAUCAAUGAACCUAUAGCAUGUUUCUUCUAUGGUAUGAAGCUGUUUUCAGUUUUUUUAUUUUCCUCUACUCCUCAAAUUCAUGAAUUAUUAAGAGUAGGCCUAGCAUUAAUUUGAUGUUCUCGAAUAAAUUUGAAAAUUCUAUUAAUUGGAAUAUGUCUUUUCAUGCAUUUCACUCACACACACAGAAAAAUUACUGGAUUUAAAGUAGACCAAAACAUUUUCUUUCUCUCUUAAAUAUAACCGGAAUAUUAUUUCAGGAGAAGAAAGCAAAUUAUGUAUCAAUUAUAGCUCAUUAAAUAGACUACUAGUAUAAUAUGUUGUAGGAAUUUUUAUGUGGCCCGCUAAUUCAAUUUAGUAAAGUUUAAAGUGAAUAGGUAUAUUAUGAAGACAGUAAGUAGAUAGACUGUAAAUAAUACAGUAAAUGAAGUGGAAGUAGCAAGUUCAACAUUUUAAAUGACAUAAAAUUGUAAUUAACUAUAACAUUCUUAAUAUAUCAUUUCAAUUUAUGACUUAUUUUUAAAAAUAAAUGAACGAUUUUACAGUUGCUGCUGGACAAUACUGCAUUAUGAUUGGAGGGGAGAUAAAGUACCCAUGUGAAAAGUGCGGAAAACCCUACAAAGUGAAAGCUGAAAUGCGGAGGCACAUGAAAAACUAUUGUGGAGUGGAACCGAAAUUUCACUGCUCCUUCUGUCCUUACAAAGCUAAAAGGAAUAGUCACCUCAAGUUACAUAUGGGGACAAGACACUACAAUAUUAAAUUAACGAAUUUAUUACAAAAUAAAAAAUAAUUUGGAAUCUUACAGACUUUUACAUAGUUUAUUAUUCUAUAUGGCUCCUGAUUCCUACAAGAAUGUCCAAGUUAUUAAGAAUGUCUGUAGUCUUUGCCUACAUGCUAUUUUCAAUAGCCCAAUUUAUAAGCAUGCUCCAUUUUAGAUUCCAAAAGAUUUUAACCUAUAGUCACUACUGUACCCAUCUAUAAUGUAAUCUCACCACAAUCAUGUUUGAGCUACUCGAUAGUGAUACGAAAUUGAGCCUCUUUAUCAACAUCCAACAAAAAUUAUUAUAAAAGUAAAUGAAUCUAUGAAUUUGUUUUAGCAAAGAACUUGAAAGAUUCUUUCCGAGCAAUUUCAAAUGACAAUAGAUUGGAGUCCAUGCUUAUUGUGCAAUGAGAGGUUUCUACUCAUUAAAACAGUGAAUGAGUUAUGAAGUCGUUGCCACAGAGUGAGAGACCAACUGAGACUGGUACCGCUGCAACUAGAACAGGUGACACCAAAUACUUGUGGUGGAUGAGAAAACUGCGUGAGGUCCACUGUUCACAGAACUACUAGUAUAAUCCAACAAAUUCUAAGAACACAAAUGGAAAUUUCCUUUUCAUUCUUAAAAAUUGUAACGUUUUUAUAAUUAUUCUUCAAUGGUGGAGAUCAUCAUUUUGCACACAUUGUUCAAGCCUCUGACUGAAAUUCUCACCAACACGUAAAUAGACAAAAUUUUCGGUAUUGGGUUGUUCAAAAACUUCAUGAAAGGUCACUGCAUUCGUCCAAAGUGACUGUCUGGUGUACAAUGUCUCCGAAUAGUAGACAAAAUUUAUUGUAUUUGGUUGUUCAAAAACUUCAUGAAAGGUCACUGCAUUCGUCCAAAGUGACUGUCUGGUGUACAAUGUCUCCGAAUAGAAUAAUUGGUCAAUAUUUUUCUAACGAUGACAACGGCCAUGUAGUUACAUUAAUAUCAGCUCGCUAUGUCAAGAUGCAGAACAACUAACUUCCUAAUUCCUGACCUUCAACAAUUUCAUGAGAAUGAGAACAAUUAUUUUCAAGAUGGAGCAACUAUCCAUACGGUCAGAGUAUCAAUAAUUGACCUCUUAAAAAAUAUUUUUUGUGUCCUCAGCGGCCACAUAUUCAGUGACCUCUUCGAUCACUCUAUCUAAGCUCGGGUGAUUUCUUGUUAUGGAAAUGCCUCAAGUCAAACGUUUUUGAAAUUCGUUCAGCAACAAUACAGGACUUAAAAAUGCGGAUAACACAAGAAAUUCAUGCAAUAACACCAGGGGAAUUACUGCGUGUUAGUGAGAUUUUCAGUGUGAGACUUGAGCAAUGUGUGCAAAAGUGAUGGUAGCCACCUUACUGGAGUAGGCCUAUUAUUCAUACAGUUACAAUUUUUCUUCAUAAAAACAAAAUUUCCAUAUGUGUUCUAACGAUUUGUGGGAAUAUAUGACUCGAAAAUAUUUUAUUCUAAUAUAUAAAUUCUAAAAAAUCCGAAUUCUUGAAUAGUGCCGUUUAUAUUAAAUUAUAGUAUUUUCAUUUAUAAAAUCAAUUUCUUAUUUUAUUACAAAAAAUUUACAUUGUUCUUUGUGACCAUAUAGAAGUAACAUAGGCCUCUAUUUAUAUACUGGUAUACAUUUGUAAUAGUCAAAUAAAUUUCCAAUAUGUCAUCAUUUUUCUAUCAUAUUCUUCUUUGUUAGUGUUAAUAUAAGUUACAAUACAUCUUACACACGCUUUGAAAUUGGAAAACCAAAUUUAGCCAACAAAUCUUCUUUCAAUUACAGCUGAUUUUGACAGAGACUAUGACGUUAUAAGAGAGGAAAUCGACCAGUGUGACGUGGCCAAGGUCAUUGAGGAAGCUGUCAGGUUUUCGUGUGGAAGAUGUGGAAAGUCGUACGGUCGGAAGCAUCAUUUGUCGUCUCAUCAGAAAUACGAAUGUGGAGUGGAGCCGCAAUUUGCAUGUCCUGAGUGUCCUCACAGGUCCAAGCGAAAAAGCGACUUAAAAACGCAUAUGGCAAACAAGCACUCGAAUCUGUUCACCAACUAUUCUUUCAAUCGAUAUCUCAACAACUGAGCACUUAAUUAGCUUCAAUAAUAAAAAAAUGGGUUUGAUGAAAAAUCAAUGAAAUUUCAUUUAUUUUAGGUCUUGAUUUGUGAUUAUCUUCUCCUAUCACCAAUAAAAGUGUCAUAUCUCGUAUUCGCCUCUAUGGUAUUUUUAUUUUCCCUUGUUAUGUUUCACAUGUUGUGACAAUCACUCACUAAUAACAAGUACCGUUUUAUCCAAUAUUUUAAGUCAUAAAAUAUAUCUUAUAAUUUGGAGUCCAUAUUUUUCAAGUCACAUUCAAAUGCUCUAUUGCUAAAUUUUACUGACUUAGCCAAAAAUAAUCAAUAAUAAUCUUUAAAUAAUGUAUUAUCUAUCUUUUGAUUCCAGCUUAUUUUAACCGAAACAUUUUGUUGGGAGAAGAACUUGAACAGAAUGACUUCGUUUCCAAUAAAAAAAGUGGCAGGUUUCCCUGUGAACGGUGUGGAAAAUCGUACAGUAAAAAGUAUAACUUGACAGUUCAUCAGAAGCACGAGUGUGGAGUGGAACCGAAGUUUCUUUGUCCACAUUGUUCUUACAGGACGAAACGGAAGGGGAGUCUUGUCCAACAUAUUUUUCUCAGACAUUCCGAAUUUUAAUUAUCGUUAUAAUUUCAGCAUCAUUCAAUUUAAUCCAAUUCCAGCAAAACUGAUUCUCAUCAGGGAGAAUUUGGAGAAGUUGACACAAGUGGGAGGGAGGAAAAUAGAAAAUUUCGUUGUGAACGGUGCGGCAAGUCGUACAAACAAAGAUGCAAUUUGUAUGUUCAUCACAAAUAUGAGUGCGGAGUGGAGCCUCAGUUCUUCUGCUCUUAUUGUCCAUACAAGUCAAAGCGAAAGGGACCUCUUUUGAACCAUGUUUUUCGAAAACACACACAUUCGGAAUUACAAUUAGUGUAACCUCAUCAUUCGUUAAUGAUAGUUCAAAAUAAAAUAUCGAUAUGUUUAUGAGAAGCUGGCACCUACGAUAAUGAAAUCAAACAAAUCGAACAAUUCAUGAUUGAAGUGACGAGUGCAAAAAUAAUUCAAGUAGAAUUUGUGCUGUUGGAAAGUUGAAAAUAUUUGUUUAUUUCUUUGAAGAUUUUGUUGUUGACAAAAGUAGAAUUCUCUACUGAAUUUAUUUUAAUGAGUUGUUGUUUUAUAUAAAGUGCUAAGAAUAAUGAAUGUAAAGUAGUGACAUUAUUAUUCAAAUAUGAAAGAUAUGAAAAUAUAAAUAUUUUUGUUCAAGCCAAUUUAUUUCAUUAUUAAAUUCAACCCUGUUAUCAGAAUGUAGACAUUUUCAUAAUCAAAUAGCAACACAAAAUUGCCCUAAUUUCCACACGAAAUUAUUGUGUAGAAUACGACAAAAUACUGAACCGUAUUAUAUUUUCAUUUGAUAAGGCUACGUUGUAUGUUUAUCGACAAAAUACUGCAAAAUACUGUAGGUAAGAGGUUUUAUUAUGUUAUUCUCACAGUUUUUUCUAUGCUAUUAUUCAAUAAAGCCUGUAUAUAAUGUUGAUUGUUAUAAUUUUGAAUCAAUUUUGUUAUUGGCCCAGCUUUUAAUUCUACCAUUUUCGAGCCAAAUAGGUAAUUGAUUUUCAACAACUUUAUAUCAUUCAGCAAAGUAGCCUACUUAUUUCAUAUUAGUAUCAGUAGUAUCUUGAAAUUAUCAUGUAUAGUAUUUAUGGAUAGUCCAAAAUACUUUUGUAUUGAAAAUUGGAUUUCUAUAUAUAGUUUGUGUUUAUUUCCGGAAUAGGACUUUAAGCAUAAAAAUUGAAAUUAUUUUGCAGGGUUGCUUGAUGACGACAAAGAAGGAAGAUAUCGCUGUCCCAAAUGCAACAAUACGUAUAAGAGCAAAUACUUCCGCAACCAUCAUUUGAAAAACCACUGUGGUCUGGAGCCCAAGUUCAAAUGCCCCCUGUGCGACUACAAAUCCAAAUGGAAAUCUGAUUUGAAAUGCCAUGUCCUCAAUAGACAUUCUAAUUACAAGAACUGAAUGUUGAGAAAACAAAAUAUUUUUACUUUCUCUUCAAUUACCGGUGGUACCGUGUAUGAACAAGUACAUAUGUGCUGCUGGGUAGCUAAUGCGUAGGAGCUACCGAUAAUACUAGAAUGAAACGACUAUUUAUUGACCUUCAUUAUUUCUUUGUACAUUACAGUGCAGUAUUUUAAUGUUCUAAGUUUUUCCUAGUAUUGGGUUAAGUUAACCAUUCAAGUAUUCAACUUCACCAUUCAAGUAUACUAAUUCUAUGAUUUGUGAUUGAAUACAGUCAUACAGUAAUACAUUUUUGUUUUUUUGAAUCGGUGUGAAACUUUCAGAACUGAAUAUUUUCUGAAUCAUCACUCUCUAUUGUGCUCCAUCAUUAUUGCUGAGAAUGAUGUCAUUUACUUCCGAAAUCUACGAGUAUAACAAAAUCUCUCCACUACAAAGCCUCGAAAAAUCGCGUAUAAUAUUAAUGAAGACUAAUAGAGUCUGAAAAGCACUAAAAUAAAAUAUUACUAGAACUGUAAAAUUUGCCAUUAGGAGAUUGUAAAAGAUUAAAUGGAGAUACUAUUUUCAAAUCUUGUUGAAAAAUUUAAUAAUAUUCUCCUCCAUUUCUUACAUUUGUCAUACCAUUAUUGCAUCUGACAUUCAUCUCCAAUUCAGUGAGAAAUAUAUGUUAUUCAGCAUGACUUUUUCCUUCAACUAAUUCAACCUCAGUUGUAAUUCAAACUUCAGGAGCACAGGCAUAUCUACCCAAGUACCCAUAGUAAGAUAUUCUCUCUCAUGCAUUCUCGUCAGUAGAUGAUCUUCUCAAUUUCAGUCAUUUUCUAAUCAUAGUUUUUGUUCUUAUAUAAUGUUUCAUCGUUCAACCUCUUUCAUUAUAAUUGAUAACUUUGAACAUGUGCCCUUAUUCCAAUUUCCUCAAUUCAAAUCAAUUCUCCAAUUCAUCUUCGCUUGUCAUUCCACCUUAUUAAAACAUUUUCACCAACCUCAUCUUUUCAAAAAUCUCAGACAUUCCCAAAUUCGUUUUUUACUCAUAAUAUUAAUUUUUCAGAGCCAAUUUAUGCAGCUGAUGGAAGCAAGAGGUAUGAGUGCAUGAAAUGCAGCCGCACCUACAAGAAUGAACGCUCCAGGAACUACCAUAUCAAGCAUCAGUGUGGUCUCGAGCCUAAAUGCCAGUGUCCCUAUUGUGCUUAUCGAUGCUGGACUAGCAGUAACUUGAAGUACCAUAUGAUUAUGAAACAUGCGGGUCUGCUCCGUCAUAAAAAUUGAAGGGAUGUGAAGUGACAAAAGCAUUGGAAUAGUAGGGAAUUUGUGAGUUUUUCGUAGAGUUCAUUCUCAACAUUCCUCAAGAUGUAUACGAUUUUGUACAUAGGGUCUAGUAUUUUGUGAAUCUUUUCAAUUUCCCAAUAAUUUUUUACAAUGCAUUCUGAAUAUUUCUUUUGAAUUCAUCGUAGAAUGAAUGAAUGAACUUUAGAAUGUAUAUAAAAUCUUAGACAGCUAUUUUAGAUCAAACUGAUAUUUCCAAGUAAUCUCGAUUGUCCAUUGAUUUUCACGUACAGUAGGCCUACCUAUAAAGGUGAUCUUUGUUCUAUAUGGAAAAAUGUAAUAUAUCAUCAUUUUUAUGUUGUGAUGAGAAAUCAUAAUAUUGUGGCGAUAGUUAUAAAACCCAGUUUUGAGUUGGGAACGUAGUUGCUCCCACAAUCAUUGUAAUAUAUUGUGGAUUAUAUUAUUAAGAUGCAUAAUUUCAGGUAUAAAAUGUUUGAAGAAUAAAUUGAUAUUCUUGAAGGUCAUCGAAUGUCUGUUGUUGUUAUACACCUUUUAAAUUUAUGCUUGAGAAGUUAACAUAUCUAUCUAUACGUUUACUGGUAAUUUCACUACCUUCAAAAUUUAGGUACAGUGUACAGUAUUCACUUGAACCAUUUUGUUCAAGUAUACACUUGAUUACAGUAUUAAAAAUGAAAUUGUCAUAAAAUCGAAAGAGGAAAUUGUUCAGUUUUUUAAUGUGACAAAGUAGUCUAAUAAUAAUAUCGAGUGACCUCGUUGGCUCAGGUCUGGUGUCAGACUUUCCAGGCCUCAGAUUAAUUUCAGGGCCUCUGACAUGACCCAACGACUGUUGUUGACAGCCGGUACCGACAAAAAACAUGUCCAUCCGAAUCACGGGAGUGGCCCGGGAAAUAAAUCUGGCCGGGAACUGGAUUUGUGCCAGAACCUCUGAAUCAUAAAGCCAGCAUCUAAUGUGCUAAAAUUGGUGAUGACCAGGGUGUCGUAAUUGAAGGAAACGAUAUAAGAUACAAGUGCCCCAAAUGCACCAAGUCUUAUAAGAGUAAGGUGUUCAGGAACUAUCACAGUAAACACCAGUGCGGCAAGGAUCCCAAAUAUCACUGUCCUUUUUGCUCCUACAGCAGUUGGAUUAUCUCGCAUGUCAAAUGUCACCUAGCCAACAGGCAUAAGUCAACUGGUUUCAAUGAAAUUCAGACUUAUCUAGAACAUUCUUAAUACAUUCACAAAGUACAUGUAUCAACUAGGUCUUAUUAAAUUUCUAUUAAGUAGUGGUUUCUAUCAAGUAAUGCUUUGAAGUCAAUAAUUGCUAGAAUUACAAUACUUUUUUCCAAUUCUAUGAUAUUAAGUAUAUAAUACAAUAUAAUUAGAUAUCUAAUAGUCUUUGUAUAGUUUUUGAAAGCAGUGUACUGAGUAACCUAUGAGUAUUACUAAAAUAUGAACUGAUUAGUUUAUUGUAAAAAUACAAUACUUUAUAAUUAGGGUAAUUAUAAUUGGAUGUUUAUUAAGAAAAUCUGAUAAUUUUUAUUUGUUACAAUAAGAAAACAUUACCGUAUUUGAAAGUUACAGUCGGCUCUUGUAAAAUUAUAUAGUAGAUAAAAUUGAUGUUGUCUUGGAAUAUCUGUUUUUUAUUUUGCAAAGUAACAAUACAUCUCAUGGAGUUUGAAUAUCUGAUUGAGCUCAAUCCAAUAGUUCAUCAAAUACAAUUUUUUCAUUAUGAAACCUGUCUUAAACUCUCGAGAAUAAAGAGUGAACACAAAUAUUAAAAACGUAAACUCAUAAAAAAAAUCAAAUUCGAUUCGAUUAAUAUGAUCAUAAUCGUCAUCGAAUCAGCUAAUUUUCAGUUAAUCAGUUUUACUCUAUCAAUCAAUCUAUUGCCAAAAAGAACAAAGUGUUGUUCAAACGUCAGAUAAAGAAAUGAAUGAAAUAAAAACUGUCAGAGGAAUCAAUACAACAAAAUCAGAAAAUAAUGAUAACUUGAAUAUUUUAUGUCAUAAUAGUAGCCUACCCUAUUGAAUAGAGAGAUUUUGAGAAUUGAUAGUUUUCAAUGUCUUCUCUCUAUGUAAGGACAAAUACUAAGUAGAAUUAUAUUAUUUACUUGUAUUCAUUUGUAUACCGAACUGAUUAUUACCAAUUUUCAAGGUUCAAGUCUGUGAAGGUAGAUUUCCCACUUCAUAUUCAUUAUUAUAAGAGUCUAGCUCUGUAUACCCACGGUAGAGGCAUGUACGUUGUUCUAGAUACUGUGAAGUUUUACUCUCUCAAAAUAAUACACAUUUCUUUUUAUAAUGGAUCAAAUAUUCUCUCUCUUCCCAUGACAUGAUAAACUUAAUGCUUUAAUAUUAGAUACUCAUGAAACUAUGAAUAAAACCUUAUCCGUGCAUAUUUUUUCAUACUCCUCGAGAACUCGUAAAUCGGUUAUAAGUUAUAAAUUUGUUUGUAAAAUAGUGCAGGAAACUUUCAAAUGUUUACUCAUUCAUUGAUUAUUCUAGGUGAAGAAGGAGACUUCCUACAAGGAGAUCAGCUGAGAUAUGAGUGCUUGAAAUGCAAGAGAACUUACAACAACAAGUACAAUCGCAACCAUCAUAUGAAGCACCAGUGUGGGAAAGAACCGAAAUUCCAUUGUCCACAGUGCCCUUAUAAGUGUUGGGUCAUCACACAUCUACGAACACACAUGACUUUCAAGCACAAGUCAACAAACAUUUGAUCAUGCUCUAAUUUAUUCAUUUAUUUAAUCAUUCAGAAUUAUACAACUUACAGAAAAGUACCACUGGCUUACGCCCAAAACGGUUCCAAUCCUAAUUUAUAACAACUGUCCAAAUGUAGCUAGGUUAUGUGUCACUUCAAAAUUAUUCAAUUACACACUCAAUUCACAAUACAAAACACACAAAAAUCAUUUUUGAAUUGAAAAAAUACUUCUAAAUAGGAACAUUCUGAAUAUUCUUAAUACAGUAUUAACAUUCUCAAUAUGAAUAUUCUGUAGGGGUCUAUUUUGAAACUUGACAAACUGAAAACUUGACGUAUGAAAUCGUGAAGAAUUGAAAAUAGGCCUAUAACCAUCAUCGGUUAACUAAGAAUCUAUAUGCAAAAUUUCAAGUUAAUCAGUCCAGUAGUUCAGACGUGAUGAUGUGUGAAACAUAAUUUUCCUAUCCCGUACAUAAUAUGUUUAAUAUGUAUACGUACAUCAGUUUUCAGUAAACAUUUGGGCAGGAAUCAUAGGAGAUCAUCUACUUCUGUUCGAGCUUCCUCCCAGGCUUAAUGGCAUAAUCUACUAGUCUUUGGUAUAAGUUUAAUGUCAUUUAGAUAUUCUACUUUCAUGUAAGAAAAAACUUUUUAUAAGAAAACCGGAAAUUUUAUUUGCAAUCAGCUACAACUUAUGAGUUAUUAGUUCUCUCCUCAUAGAACAGCAAAUUUUUAUGGUGUAAUGUACUACAUAAGAAUACAUUUUAUUCAACUUUUAUUUGAAUUUAGUUUACACAGCUUACAUAAUUCUUUUCAGAAUAAAAUUCUCUACAAUUUUUAUUGCAAAAAAUUAUUUGUUUACUGGUCAUUAAAGAAAGUUAUUGGGCAUCAAACGUAGAAGUCUGUGUUUUUCUACUUAGAUUUUUUGCAUAUUUCAACUUUUUUCUCAAAAACUACUCACACUACAGCUUCCUGACUAGUUUAAUUCAAUUUUUCAGUUAUUUUCCCAUAUGAAUCCAGCAUAAGUUUUCCAAAAACUAGUCCUCAAACAAUUCAGCAUUGGUGUAUUUCACCAGAGGAACUGAAUUCCGGGCGAAAUCUUUCACCCUGUAUAGCUCGCUAAUGAAGCGUUUAUGGAUAUAUGUUUAUAUGAACUUUUUUUCUUAUUUUUACCUCUACUAUCACGUAUUAAAAUAUUUUACCAUAAUUAUGAAUCACUCUGUAUAUAGAUAGAUGGAAGAUAGAUUGAAUUAAUCUAAAUAAAAUAACAAAUAUGAGUAUUAUGUUUUCAAUAAACAAUAAAUGCAACUAGCAAAAUUUAAUUUGAAAUUGUUUUGGAAAUGUUAUCAAUCUGGUGUGAAAUGUGUCCAAAGUAUGUGCUGCCUGUAUUAAAUAUUUUAAAUACCGAGAAAAUGUUAUCAAUUUGAUCUGAAAAAUAUCUUAGAUGUAGUCUACCCUUUAAAUUAGUUAUAAUCAUUAUUUCGUUAUUUGAUCAUUUUUGCCGAUUUUAUAAUAAUUGAAUAUUUUCAUAUUCAAAGUAAUGAAUUUUUGAUAGUUUGAAGUGCUUAUACUUCUAUAAUUAAUUUGAAUUACCUUAACUCGAUCUUUUUCUAACAAUGUCCGUGGAUUAUUCAUUAAAAAUUCGAAAAAUUUUAAUUUCGGAUGUGAUUAUGUAUCCCGUCAAUGUAUUUUCAUGAUAAAAUAUUUUUCCUAUG